rnacentral:lncRNA from 1 species
CUCCCAGAGCCUUGCUUCCCGCCGAGGGCUCACCGAGGCCAGCUUCCUCCCAGCACAUUGCUUCCCCCCUGUGGGCUCACCAAGGCCGGCUUCCCCCCAAGGGCUCACCAAGGCCGGCCUCCUCCCAGCGCCUUGCUUCCCCCCGAGGGCUCACCGAGGCCAGCUUCCUCCCAGAGCCUUGCUUCCCCCCGAGGGCUCACCAACUCCGGCCUCCUCCCAGAGCCUUGCUUCCCGCCGAGGGCUCACCGAGGCCGGCUUCCUCCCAGAGCCUUGCUUCCCCGCUGUGGGCUCACCAAGGCCGGCUUCCCCCCAAGGGCUCACCAAGGCCGGCCUCCUCCCAGCGCCUUGCUUCCCCCUGAGGGCUCACCGAGGCCAGCUUCCUCCCAGCACAUUGCUUCCCCACUGUGGGCUCACCAAGGCCGGCUUCCCCCCAAGGGCUCACCAAGGCCGGCCUCCUCCC